rnacentral:rRNA from 1 species
AUGGCUCAGCUAACUAACCAUGGUGUAGCAAAAAUAAAAUGGCCAUAUCUAGGCAAGAAGUUUCGGCCAAAAACUAAUGCAACAUUGCAGCAUGGUACGCGAAAAUGCAGGAAAAUAGAAGAAGGUACUGAAAGGACAUGGGACACAAAUAGACUAUGGAGACAAACCGAAAUUGCUAAUGGUGAUACUUAUUACCUGAACAGACAUUCACAUUCAUUGGUGUGGCACUUAGUCAUAACUGAAAUGCACGGAUAUAAAAAAAUAUUGGUGAUCCAUAGUAAUAGACACUUGAAGCCCCAUGUUGUAAUUGUAACUGAGCAUAGAUAUAACAAAAUAUUACAGAUUAGAUAUUUAUUUAGGAACCAAUGA